rnacentral:rRNA from 1 species
CACGUAGGCACCAAGCGUUGUCCGGAUUCAUUGGGCGUAAAGGGUGCGUAGGCGGCGCGGUAAGUCGGGUGUGAAAUCUCGGAGCUUAACUCCGAAACUGCAUUCGAUACUGCCGUGCUUGAGGACUGGAGAGGAGACUGGAAUUUACGGUGUAGCGGUGAAAUGCGUAGAUAUCGUAAGGAAGACCAGUGGCGAAGGCGGGUCUCUGGGCAGUUCCUGACGCUGAGGCACGAAGGUCAGGGGAGCAAACGGG